rnacentral:rRNA from 1 species
GACGAACGCUGGCGGCGUGCCUAACACAUGCAAGUCAAGGCGGUAGCAAUACCGACUGGCGCACGGGUGCGGAACACGUAGGUAAUCUGCCCUUUAGGGGAGAACAACUCAUCGAAAGGUGAGCUAAAUCUCCGUAAUGUUUUACUAUGGCAUCAUAGUUCAACCAAGUUUUCUAAGGGAUGAGCCUGCGUCUGAUUAGCUAGUUGGUGAGGUAACGGCUCACCAAGGCACGAUCAGUAGCUGGUCUGAGAGGAUGAUCAGCCACAUUGGGACUGAGACACGGCCCAGACUCCUACGGGAGGCAGCAGUGAGGAAUAUUGCUCAAUGGACGAAAGUCUGAAGCAGCAACGCCGCGUGAGGGAUGAAGGUGCUCUGCAUU